UAAACAAGAGCAAACACCAGGUCCGCCCGGCGCGGAAGGUGAGCUGAAAUGUCAUACGGGAGGACCAGGAAGACGUCUACUAUUAACCUACUACUAUCAAUUCCCGGGCUGACGCAUAGCUUUCCUGCCCGCACGCGCUUGGGUCUCUGCCAACACAACCGGGUAAGUCAUAACCAGAGGACUUCACGGGCUUCUCCGCCUCCCUAACGCUCCUCGUACCUGACAGCCGAAUUCUAAAACAAGGCAAAAAGGGCAGCAUUCUCGGUCGUAUUCCAAUCCAACGUCUACUGCUUCCUGAAUUCAAUCCAGUGAUGCAAAAGCAGAUGAGGAAACACCCCUCGUUUAGGAAGCAAACCCGCCGUUGGGGAAAUCUGACGAGCUGAAAAUAGAAACCAAAAUCUACCGCGUCUGUUCUUCGGCUUUAUUAAUGAUAGACCCAAACCGAAACCGUUGUCACGUUCCCGUGUCGGACCUGAACCCCAUCUGCAUCAUUUAUGGAUAGCGUGUAGUAAACCGAGCCGAAUGAGGAAGAUCUGUGAGCAAAGGUGCUGACAGACCUUUAACCGAGUGCCAGGGUACUCGGGGACAGGAACAUCGAAUGAAACAAAUGAAUGUGCCGUAAAUAAACCUGUACCGUACUACUUGCAUUUUAGUCCCUAGGACACACCACAAAAGGAAGGACAUGCUGAGGCUGCUGCCAUAAAGGAGCAGCGCGGUUUGUCUAGAAAAUAAAUGAGCAAGUGAACAGUAAUCUAAGUGUAGGCACAAAGUCCCAAGUUCUCAAGCUCAGUCCAUGCAUGUCUCAGGGCCCAUCUGGGGAGAGGUCUCCAGAACAGCUAACCCAGCGUCAGGGGAAGAUUGUACUACACCGGAAGAAUGUAUCUCAAGCCGUGAAAAACCUCGGGGGAUAGGAGUGCUUAAAUAGUCGGGAAAAGUCGUUUCUAAAUUUGUCUUUCCUUUGGUUUAUUUUUAUUCACAAAAUUUAUUUUGAAAUUUCAAUCACCAUCAAAGGAGAAUACAAAAACCGUAUGCUUGUCAAGAGACGGCUUAAGGUUUAAAAAAAAAAAAAAAAAGUUAAGAU